UGGGGAAUAUUGCACAAUGGGGGAAACCCUGAUGCAGCAACGCCGCGUGGAGGAAGAAGGUUUUCGGAUUGUAAACUCCUGUCUUUUGGGACGAUAAUGACGGUACCAAAAGAGGAAGCCACGGCUAACUACGUGCCAGCAGCCGCGGUAAUACGUAGGUGGCGAGCGUUGUCCGGAAUUACUGGGCGUAAAGGGCGCGUAGGCGGCCUGUUAAGUCAGAUGUGAAAACCCCAGGCUCAACCUGGGGACUGCAUAUGAAACUGAUGGGCUAGAGUGUCGGAGAGGGAAGCGGAAUUCCUAGUGUAGCGGUGAAAUGCGUAGAUAUUAGGAGGAACACCAGUGGCGAAGGCGGCUUUCUGGACGAUAACUGACGCUGAGGCGCGAAAGCGUGGGGAGCAAACAGG
rnacentral:rRNA from 1 species